rnacentral:rRNA from 1 species
CCCUUAGAUGUUCUGGGCCGCACGCGCGCUACACUGAUGCAUUCAACAAGCCUAGCCUUGACCGAGAGGCCCGGGUAAUCUUUGAAACUGCAUCGUGAUGGGGCUAGAUUAUUGCAAUUAUUAAUCUUCAACGAGGAAUGCCUAGUAAGCGUGAUUCAUCAAAUCGCGUUGAUUACGUCCCUGCCCUUUGUACACACCGCCCGUCGCUCCUACCGAUUGAAUGUGUUGGUGAGGAGCUCGGAUUGGCAGCAGUUGGUGGUUCGCCACCGGCUAUUGCUGAGAAGUCCUCCAAACCGCCCCAUUUAGAGGAAGGAGAAGUCGUANCA